rnacentral:rRNA from 1 species
GCCUAACACAUGCAAGUCGAGCGGAAACGAGAAGUAGCUUGCUACUUCGGCGUCGAGCGGCGGACGGCUGAGUAAUGCCUAGGAAAUUGCCCUGAUGUGGGGGAUAACCAUUGAAAACGAUUGCUAAUACCGCAUAAUGCCUUCGGACCAAAGAGGGGGACCUUCGGGCCUCUCGCGGCAGGAUAUGCCUAGGUGGGAUUAGCUAGUUGGUGAGGUAAUGGCUCACCAAGGCGACGAUCCCUAGCUGGUCUGAGAGGAUGAUCAGCCACACUGGAACUGAGACACGGUCCAGACUCCUACGGGAGGCAACA